UAUCCAUGCUUCAAAGUAGCAUGGAUGAAUACAUGAUCAUGCAAUGGUAGGUUUGAAAUAUAGAAGGUUUUAAUCAACCCUGACCCAAACAUGUCAUGACUUAAAUAGAUUUCAAUAGUCCAUAAGUUUAAGACUUCACAAGUCCACUAAAAAUAAUUCAAAUGACUUGAAACAAAAUAAAAUCAAAUACUAGUGACAAAAGUAACUUGAGUCUAUGUUCAACAUAUUUACAAGAUAAUAAAAAUGAAAGGGUUAAA
rnacentral:lncRNA from 1 species